rnacentral:rRNA from 1 species
CACCGCGGUUAUACGAAAGGCCCAAGUAGACAGACUCCGGCAUAAAGUGUGGUUAAGGAACUAGUUGAACUAAAGCCGAAGACUUUCAGAGCUGUUAUACGCAAAUGAAAGCUUGAAGCCCAACCACGAAGGUGGCUUUAACAAUCCUGACGCCACGGAAGCUACGGAA